CAGCAGCCGCGGUAAUACGAAGGGUGCAAGCGUUACUCGGAAUUACUGGGCGUAAAGCGUGCGUAGGUGGUGGUUUAAGUCCGUUGUGAAAGCCCUGGGCUCAACCUGGGAAUUGCAGUGGAUACUGGGUCACUAGAGUGUGGUAGAGGAUAGUGGAAUUUCCGGUGUAGCAGUGAAAUGCGUAGAGAUCUGGAGGAAUACCGGUGGCGAAGGCGGCCCCCUGGACAAAGACUGACGCUCAGGUGCGAAAGCGUGGGGAGCAAACAGGAUUAGAUACCCGAGUAGUCCCUGUCUCUUAUAC
rnacentral:rRNA from 1 species